UAUACUGCUCUAGUUGCAGCAACAAGAGAAGGACAUGAUGAGAUUGUAAAGUUAUUAAGUAAAGAAGCUGAUCAAAAUACUUCAGUUCAUAAUAAGGAGUUAUAUGAAGCUGCUGAAAGAGGUGAUGCUACUGGUGUCCAGUCUGCACUGUCUCAAGGAGCUAAUGUAAACUAUGAGAAUCCUGAAGAGGGUGGAGCUACUUCUCUUCAUGUUGCUGCAAGAGGAGGAUAUCAUGAUGUUGUACAAAUUUUAUUGUCUGCAGGAGCUAAAAUUCGCCUUAGAGACACAAGAGGAGAUACUGCUCUUAUUGAAGCAGCAAGAGGAGGAAACUGUGAUGUUGUAGAAUUACUUCUGAAGAAAGGAGCUGAUCCUUCACAUUUAAACUAUCAUGGAAAUACGGCUCUUAUUGCAGCAGCAGAGAGAGGACAUUAUGACACUGUACAGCUGCUAUUAAAGAAUGGAGCUAACCAAAGCACUCGAAAUA